CAGCGAUGUUGUGAUGGGACUUGUUUCAGUAAAUUGUGAUGAUCUUUAUGAAAGGCUCAAAUUCUUACAAAACUCUCUUGGARCUGUUCCAUCUCCUUUCGACUGCUAUAUGUGCAAUCGUGGUUUGAAGACAUUGCAAUUCCGGAUGAAGCAACAUUUCCACAAUGCGUUGGCUGUUGCUCAAUUUCUCGAGUCAGAUCCUCGGGUGGAGAAAGUCAUUUUCCCGGGGUUGCCUUCACACCCUCAGCAUGAGUUGAUCAAGCGGCAGUGUACUGGCUGUCCUGGGAUGGUAACCUUUUAUAUUAAAGGAAAUCUUGAACA